rnacentral:rRNA from 1 species
UGAGGAAUAUUGGUCAAUGGUCGCGAGACUGAACCAGCCAAGUAGCGUGCAGGAUGACGGCCCUCUGGGUUGUAAACUGCUUUUAGUUGGGAAUAAAAGGCGGUACGUGUACCGCGUAUUGUAUGUACCAUCAGAAAAAGGACCGGCUAAUUCCGUGCCAGCAGCCGCGGUAAUACGGAAGGUCCGGGCGUUAUCCGGAUUUAUUGGGUUUAAAGGGAGCGUAGGCGGAUUUUUAAGUCAGUUGUGAAAGUUUGAGGCUCAACCUUAAAAUUGCAGUUGAAACUGGAAGUCUUGAGUGCACGCAGAGGUGCCGGAAUUCAUGGUGUAGCGGUGAAAUGCGUAGAUAUUAGGAGGAACACCAGUGGCGAAGGCGGCUUACUGGACGAUCACUGACGCUGAGGCUCGAAAGUGU